AUAAAAUUUUAAAAUAUUAUUAAUAUGUUGUUUUAAUAGGGGUUAAAACUUCAGUUUUUUAACAAUUGUCUCAUGGAUUCGUGGUAUAGUGUUACUUAAUAACAAUUAUAAACUGUAAAAUAUAAAUAUUUUAUAAAAAUAAAAUUUGCAAAUUUUAAUAUAUAUUACUUUUAAAAAAUAAAUCAUCCCCUGGUAU
rnacentral:sRNA from 1 species